rnacentral:tRNA from 1 species
AAGGAUUUAAGUUAAAUAAACUCUUAACCUUCAAAGUUAAAAAUAGAAGUAUUCUAAGCCUUA